GAGUUAAGUUUACAUAUGGUUAUGUAGUCAGACUGCAAAUUUGAUAAAGGUAGGGUUCAAUUCCCUCUUGACUCU
rnacentral:tRNA from 2 species